AACAAAACUCUAGCAAGCUUACAAAAAUUAAAACUCGACCAUAGAAACCAUUUGGAUUUGAACAUUAAAAAAAAUAUCAAUAUUUUUUGGAUACAAGCAUGUGCGAGAAAUGUGAACGCAACAAUAGGAGGAUUCGUUUUCAUUAACAUGGAUUUAAUGAAAGCUAUUUUUGGUAUCAUAGCAACGUAUUUUUUAGUGCUUAUACAAUUUAAAUUUAAAAAAAGUAUUUCCAAGCCAUUGCAUUUCUCCGAUUAACGUAAUUGCAUUUCUUUUCAUAUGGAUAAAUCUGUCUAACAACUAAUAAAAUGUUCAUUCAUUUAUUACCCUAUAACUGUAUUAUAUUUAAUGGCUUUUAUUUACAGGAAGACAAAAUAUAUGUAGAUAUACUCAUAUUUAUAUGGAAUUUGCUUUGAAAGUGAAAUGUAAUAAUUAACACAUGUAUAUACAAUA